rnacentral:lncRNA from 1 species
AUGCAAUGAACCCCCAGGAUAAGUUACAGCCCUAGGCAUGCCUGCCAUAGACUUCUUCUGGCCCUUGUCAGAACCACCCUCUCCCAGUACCCCUGAGGAACUGCUUGUGCCCGGGGGUGGCUGGCAGCAGUAGGCACCAUAUGGCUGCCAUGGAGGCGGUCUUUUUGGGAGAAGGGAAAUCUUGGAGACAGUCUACAGGCUGGAUGGAACUCCCAGCCCUGCAGAGGAAGCUCUUGUCUGGCACUUGCCUGUAGCUGUCUCAGUGGUCAUGGCUCCUACAAAGAGACCCCAUGUGGCCAAGAGGACAGUCUAUCACCCAGCCUUGGGGACUCAGUCUUAUGCUAGCAGCUGUGAGUUAAUGGGUGUGGUGGCCACGCCGGGUCCAGAAGAUACUGCUUCCGUUCUCCAUCCAGUUCUUACAUUCUGGCCUCUUCUGUGCUGUUCUCAGAGCCUUAGAGAGAGUGACAUAGAUGUCUAAUUUAGGGCUGAGAGCUCACCAGUCACUUGCUCCCCACACUUGGAUCAGCUGUGAGUGUCGCCCUGACUGCCAGUUACCAGGAGCAGCGUGUUCUUUUAAGCAGCUUUAAAUAAUUUCCUUUUGACUUGCAGAUAUGAUUAGUUCCCUUCACAAAUCCUUCCUCUGAGAGAGGGGAGGUGUACGGCCAAAGUUUACUUGUCUGAAUUAUUUCUUAUUCCGAAAGAGUAGGUUCCAAAUCAACGCUACUGACUGCUCUAUUCAGUCAGCUCAAGGACGGCCAGUAGGUGAACAAAAAUCAAUGGAGAGCGAGUCUCAGAAGUGUCAGAGAAGGGCAAACAUAUUUGACAAAAAAA